rnacentral:rRNA from 1 species
UACAGGGGGUGCAAACGUUGCUCGGAAUUAUUGGGCGUAAAGCGCGCGUAGGCGGCUACUUAAGUCGGAUGUGAAAGCCCUUGGCUCAACUGAGGAAGUGCACCCGAAACUGAGUGGCUUGAGUACGAAAGAGGGUCGCGGAAUUCCCGGUGUAGAGGUGAAAUUCGUAGAUAUUGGGAAGAACACCGGUGGCGAAGGCGGCGACCUGGUCCUUGACUGACGCUGAGGCGCGAAAGCGUGGGGAGCAAACAGG